CACUUCUAAGGAAGGCAGCAGGCGCGCAAAUUACCCAAUCCUGACUCAGGGAGGUAGUGACAAGAAAUAACAAUAAACCGGCUUAUGCCGGUUUAAUUGGAAUGAGUACAAUUUAAACAUCUUAACGAGGAACAAUUGGAGGGCAAGUCUGGUGCCAGCAGCCGCGGUAAUUCCAGCUCCAAUAGCGUAUACUAAAAUUGUUGCAGUUAAAAAGCUCGUAGUUGGAUUUCUGUGGGGACGGAGCGGCCGGCCGCACAUCGCGGUUCGAGCUAGCGCUUUCCCUACAUCCUGCCGCGAACCGUGCUACCAUUAGUUUGGUGGCGCCGGGGAUCGGCUCGAUUACUUUGAGAAAAAUAGAGUGUUCAAAGCAGGCCACAUGCCUUGAAUAAGUUAGCAUGGAAUAAUAACUAAGGACUUCGGUUCUAUUUUGUUGGUGUUCGGGACUGAAGUAAUGAUUGAUAGGGACAGUUGGGGCGGUCUGUAUUCCAAAGCGAGAGGUGAAAUUCUUAGACCUUCGGAAGACAAACAGCUGCGAAAGCGUUCCGCAAGGAUGUUCCCUUUGAUCAAGAACGAAAGUUGGGGGAUCGAAGACGAUCAGAUACCGUCGUAGUCUCAACUAUAAACUAUACCAGCUAGGGAUCGGCCAACGUUAUUUUAUACCGACUUGGUCGGCACCUUAUGAGAAAUCAAAGCAUCUGGGUUCCGGGGGGAGUAUGGUCGCAAGGCUGAAACUUAAAGGAAUUGACGGAAGGGCACCACCAACCGUGGAGCCUGUGGCUUAAUUUGACUCAACACGGGAAAACUUACCAGGUCCAGACAUAGUAAGGAUUGACAGAUUGAUAGCUCUUUCUUGAUUCUGUGGGUGGUGGUGCAUGGCCGUUCUUAGUUGGUGGAGUGAUUUGUCUGGUUAAUUCCGUUAACGAACGAGACCCCAGCCUGCUAAAUAGCGCGCGUGAGCUUUGCUCGCGGCGAGCUUCUUAGAGGGACUAUGAUGCGCGAUAGCACAUGGAAGUUUGGGGCAAUAACUGGUCUGUGAUGCCCUUAGAUGUUCUGGGCCGCACACGGGCUACACUGGCGCCUGCAACGAGCAUAUCAGCUGGCCCGAGAGGGUCUUGGCUAAUCUUUUGAACCGGCGCCGUGCUUGGGAUUGACCUUUGCAAUUGUUGGUCAUGCAACGAGGAAUGCCUUGUAAACGCGAGUCAUCAGCUCGCAUUGAAUACGUCCCUGCCCUUUGUACACACCGCCCGUCGCUCCUACCGAUGAAUGUUCCGAUGAAAUUUUCGGAGAGCACCUGUGAACUUGGCUCUGCCUUGCGAACGGGAGGCUCAAAGUCACUUAAAUCUGAACAUUUCGAGG
rnacentral:rRNA from 1 species